rnacentral:rRNA from 1 species
GAUGAACGCUGGCGGCAUGCCUAAUACAUGCAAGUCGAACGAGAGGAAGGAAAGCUUGCUUUUCUGAAUCUAGUGGCGAACGGGUGAGUAACACGUAGGUAACCUGCCCAUGUGCCCGGGAUAACUUCUGGAAACGGAUGCUAAAACCGGAUAGGUAGCAGACAAGCAUUUGACUGCUAUUAAAGUGGCUAAGGCCAUGAACAUGGAUGGACCUGCGGUGCAUUAGCUAGUUGGUGAGGUAACGGCCCACCAAGGCGACGAUGCAUAGCCGGCCUUGGAGGGCGGACGGCCACAUUGGGACUGAGACACGGCCCAAACUCCUACGGGAGGCAGCAGUAGGGAAUUUUGCUCAAUGGGGGGAACCCUGAACGAGCAAUGCCGCGGGAGUGAGGAAGGUCUUCGGGUCGUAAAGCUCUGUUGUAAGAGAAAAACGACAUUCAUAGGGAAUGAUGAGUGAGUGAUGGUAUCUUACCAGAAAGUCACGGCUAACUACGUGCCAGCAGCCGCAGUAAUAC